GCUGUAGGGUCCACCGGUGUCACACUUUCAUCCUAAAAACAUUUCCGGACAAGUACUGGAUAUAUUAGACCACAAUUUUAAUGAAUUGCUUAAUCUAAUUAACGGAGAUUCUAGAAAGUUAACUUAAAUAAUUAGUGUAUCAAAUGAUACUGAAAGUAUCAGACAUUAAAAAAAUUUAUUUCUUUUAAAUAACUAAAGAAAAUACUUAUAGGCCGUUAUUCAUAGUCACCUUAGAUGCUAAAUAACAUGGGUAAGGUAAUCUUAAGGUAGUUGUUUCGAGAUAGUAAUGUUCAAAAGUCUAGCUUACUGGAUUAAAAAAAUAACAUAACUAAAGCUGUUAGUUGAACGCCGCUCAUUGAAAAAUUUUGUAAAAGAACAGUCAUAUUGCUCCCACAUACAUUCAAGUAUGUAUCAAUACGUUUAUAUACACAUACAUCCAUAAUAUUCGAGAAGUGAUCGUAGCAACGACGUUCAUUGUUCUUGCGCACGUUUUUUGCGUUUUGUGAUAUUUAUUAUUAUAGUCAUAAGACAUAACCAAAAUAACCAUCAAAAUAAACAGAGUUGUUAAUUAUCAAAUUAAUAGAAGUGUCAAAACGUUUAUGUUAUUAAAAUCAAUUUAUAAAAACAAGUGUUAAUAAAUAAACUAAAGCAAGCGGCUAAUAUAACUCGAGGAAGAAUUGAACGUUGAUUUUUUCCAGCUUUCCUCAACAUCUUGUCUUCAAUAUUUACAAAUAUUUAAUUGAAUUAAUACAUUAAUUAAAUUCUUUUUAUUAAUAAUAGAAUAAUUAAUUAAUUUUAUUUAUUGUAUCAUGUUUACCAGAAGUAACAACAUUCAAUAUGACUUGCAUCAAUAAUCGUAAAUGAACCGAAAUUAAUCAUGGCGAAAAUAUUAAAUGGUUACAACAGAAAUAUUAUCAAAAUGUCCCGAGAAAACUCUUACGAGAUAGUCCGAGAGCUGCUGAACAAUUUUGGGACUUCAACUUAAAAACUGAGUGGCAUUAUUUCGCACCAGUACAUGGUAAGGGGCUAUGUGAUGGUAGCUGAGGAACGGUUCACAGAAAAGCAGCGAGAGCAAGCCUUCAACGGCCAAUUGGCGACCAAAUAAUAACAGUACAAGAGUUGUAAAAGAAAGAUUAGAUUUGCGAUACAAUACAGCUAAAACCAUUACAGGAACUCAAAAAUUUCAUACAAUUAUUCCAAAAAGCGACGGAGCUAUAUUAAAUAAAGAGUACUCUAGUUCACAAAACAAACUGUUUGUAAAAUAUGUAAAAUUUUUAAAAGAACACGAAAGUAAAUAAAAAUGUUUGUUAUAAUUGCUCAUAAAUAGAAUGAACACAUUACUUUUACGUAGCAAACGUACAAUUAUAAGUCCAAUGUUUUUUUUAUAUACAUCGGAAUUAUUUCUAUGUUAGCAUAUUAAAAAUUCCUAUGCGAACAAAAGAAAUAUUACUGUAUAACACAGGAAAAUUACCUGUUUUUUUCUCCUUGUAACAUGUUUCAAUCACGUAA